GCGAAACGGGAAGAGCCCAAACCACAGUGGCGUGCUGCUGUGGGGUUAUAGGACUGCAUUUAGAAUAGCGCAUCAAACUGAAUCAACUGGAAAGUUGAGCGAUAGAAGGUGAGAGCCCUGUAGGUAGAAAUUGCGUUGGACGAGCAGUAUCCUGAGUAAGGCGGGACCGGAGAAAUCCUGCCUGAAUUUGCCGGCACCAUCCGGUAAGGCUA
rnacentral:rRNA from 1 species